rnacentral:tRNA from 1 species
UCCCAGGUGCUUUAGUUGUAAAGGAUCUGCCUGCCAGCGCAGAAGACACAGGUUUGAUCCCUGGCUCGGGAA